rnacentral:misc_RNA from 1 species
GGAAGUGAAAGUCGUAACAAGGUUUCCGUAGGUGAACCUGCGGAAGGAUCAUUAUUGUAUAACCGAGGUGCGAGGGCUGUCGCUGACCCGAAAGGUCGUGCACGCCCGAGUGCCCUCACACACAUCCACCUCACCCCUAUGUGCACCACCGCGUGGGUCCCCCUUUGGCUUGUUCGGAGGGGGGCUUACGUUUUCACACAAACUUUGUAUGCAGUGUAGAAUGUAUUUUUUGUUUUUGCGAUCACGCAAUCAAUACAACUUUCAACAACGGAUCUCUUGGCUCUC